GACAGAGGAUGCAAGCGUUAUCCGGAUUGAUUGGGCGUAAAGCAUCUGUAGGUGGCUUUUCAAGUCCGCCGUCAAAUCCCAGGGCUCAACCCUGGACAGGCAGUGGAAACUACCAAGCUGGAGUAUGGUAGGGGCAAAGGGAAUUUCCGGUGGAGCGGUGAAAUGCGUAGAGAUCGGAAAGAACACCAACGGCGAAAGCACUCUGCUGGGCCGACACUGACACUGAGAGACGAAAGCUAGGGGAGCGAAUGGG
rnacentral:rRNA from 1 species